CACGUAGGCACCAAGCGUUGUCCGGAUUUAUUGGGCGUAAAGAGCUCGUAGGCGGUUCGGCAAGUCGGGUGUGAAAUUUCGAGGCUCAACCUCGAAACGCCACUCGAUACUGCUGUGACUGGAGUCCGGUAGAGGAGUGCGGAAUUCCUGGUGUAGCGGUGAAAUGCGCAGAUAUCAGGAGGAACACCGAUGGCGAAGGCAGCUCGCUGGGACGGUACUGACGCUGAGGCGCGAAAGCGUGGGGAGCAAACAGG
rnacentral:rRNA from 1 species